rnacentral:sRNA from 1 species
AUUUGAUAGCUGUGUAAGGAUAAAAAAAAUGAAGAUUCUUGCCUUGAUUCUGUUUUCACUUAGCAGCAUCCUCCAAAAUAUAUGUGGAUUCGAUUAUAACGAAACAGAACUAGAGAGUGAGGAGAGUUUAUUAAAGUUAUAUAACAGGUGGGCGAGCCACCAUCACGUUUCUAUGAAACUCAAGCCAAAAGAAAAUAGAUUCUAAGUCUUCCGAAAUAACAUGAAAAAUGACCUAAUAAAACUUAGAAUCUAUUUUCUUUUGUUUCGAACUUCAUAGGAACGUGAUGGUGGCUCGUCCACCUGUUGUAUAGCUUUAAUAAACUCUCCUCACUCUCUAGUUCUGUUUCGUUAUAAUCGAAUCCACAAACAUUUUGAAGGGUGCUAAGUGAAAACAAAAUCAAGACAAGAAUCUUCAUUUUUUUUUGCUUUGAUUGCUUUUAAUGGAAGUUGAAAGUGUAAGAAAGUGGAGGCUUGGAGAUCUAAAUAGGCAAGAGAAGCGAUAUAUAUAUA